AGGGGCCAAAGCGGCCGGUGGAGGCGCCGAGUGGCUGGCCAUGGCGGUGGAGGGGGCGAGCGGGGCCAUGGCCCGCCGCAGACGCCGACCGGACACGGAGGCCGAGGAGUGCCUCUCUUUGUGGAACUCACACCGUCUGGUCUUCACCUGACGGGCGGUGCAGUCGCCUCCGCCCAAAUGUAUAUUUUACAUAUCAAAUUGGACCAAUUGCAUUUCAAGAACUCAGAAGUCCCAUGUUACCAUCGGACCAUGAGCUUUUGUAGGAGGAAACAGAAGAGAAAUCAAGGAACUAACAACAGACCAGAAAGAAGACACCAUCAAAGUCCAACUUGGUAAACCGAUAAGUUUUAUUGUGGUUACUUACAAGAGCAGGAAUGGCUCAGUCAGCUGGAUCAUCAAAAAGCCCACCUCCACAUGGGUGACAACUCAAGAAAACCCUGAAAACCUGGAGCAGACCUCACAACCUGCAGGCAGUUCAGCAGACUGGAGACUGCCCCUCUUCUAGGCAGUGAGGUAGGUAUCUGCUUCUUCCAGGCAGCUUGAGUUGGGCUGAGAGUGUCUCAGCAUCCAUAAAGCAUGUGCUUGGGGAAGAAAGGGCUUAGUAAAUCUGGUCAGUUUGAAGGGCUUUCUGAAACCUUUGAGUUGUUUACUUCCUGAGCUUAAGGAUCUUACCUGUAGGAUGGAAUGAUUCACCUCCCCAUAGCAUGUCCAAUGUCUUGUUUCCCUCCAAAAUGGAAAGUUAAUCUGAGAGGAAGCUGCUAUAAAUAGGCUGGUAAUACAUAAUUUGAGAUUUCUGAUGUUUUGUUUAUUGUUGUAAGAAAAUAAAGA